rnacentral:rRNA from 1 species
UACGGAGGAGGCAAGCGUUAUCCGGAAUUAUUGGGCGUAAAGCGUCCGCAGGUGGCUAUUCAAGUCUGCGGUCAAAGACUGGGGCUUAACCCUGGAAAGGCCGUGGAAACUGAAGAGCUAGAGUGCAGUAGGGGUAGAGGGAAUUCCCGGUGUAGCGGUGAAAUGCGUAGAUAUCGGGAAGAACACCAGUGGCGAAAGCGCUCUGCUGGACCAUAACUGACACUGAGGGACGAAAGCUAGGGGAGCGAAAGGG